rnacentral:tRNA from 1 species
GCCGACGUAGCUCAGAUGGCAGAGCACCCGCCUUGUAAGCGGGCGGUCGCUGGUUCGAUCCCAGCCCUCGGCUCCA